UCUCUUCUCCCAGGGAGGAACUUUGCGGAGGGGUCAGUGUUGGGAACCCUGGGGUCCUCCGCCGCCUCCUGAUCUUCCGCCAGUCCCGCCACUCCUCCGCCCUGGGCGUGCCUUCCGCAGGUGAACCUGAAGAGGAGAAAAUAUAUAAUAGAGCCUGAAGAUGUAGUUGUAUUGCUUCAGUCUCAUGAUAAAACUUGAGUGGAUGAGGAGUUGCUUCUUAUGAACGAGCAAAGAAAGUGGUUACGUGAGAGGGAAUCUACUCCUAAUGAAGAUCCUCUGGAUUUAUAGUGACAAGGCCCUAGGGUGUGGCAGAUCCACAGAUGGCAUAAGGCUGAGUUCUUGAAUCACUGCAUAGAGGAACGGCACCAGGAAUGCUCACCUUGGCCGAUGUGUGAAUGGGAAAUAAACUUGCAUUGUAUGAAGACCCUGAACUUUCGGAGUUUAUUCGUUUUAGCAGGAGGAAAAAAGCACGUUUUGCGUUUCCCUUUGGCUUGAUGUAGCAGCUAAUGGUUGAUGAUGCUUGGUGGGGAAUAAUGGAGACAAGGAAGAUGCGUGUGAAUCCUGAACUCCAACUGGAGCUGGUGUGUCAGUUGGACAUGCUAAAGGCUAAAAGGGAAGUACCUCCAGCUUGCACUGCAUGACACCAUCAUCAUCAUAUUAACCACAUCGUCGCAGCCAGUGUGACCGUGCAUCUUGGUCUGACCGGGAAAAUUCCAGUUUAAUCCUAAGGUGCUGCCAUCAUUCUUAAUAACACACCUUUUUACUCUCAAAGCUGUCCCAAUGUGAUGAUAAAUGAUAUAGCCACUGAAGUCAUAAAUAAUAUUUAGUGAGCACUUGUUAUACACUAGGCAUUUACUUCAUAUACUGUUUGUUUUGUCUUCCCAACAACUUUAUGAAUUAGGUGUUCCUUUUAGCCCCAGUUUACAGAUGAUGAAAUUGAGGCAGCAUUUAAGAAACUUCCCAUGCUUAUCCAGCUUGAACCCAGCAGUCUGGCUCCAGAACCCAAAAUCUUAAACAUUUUACUGCUUCUUGCAGAGAAAAUACGGGGAUCUGCUCCACAUGAUCCCCUUCUAUCAGGUCCAUCAUAAAAUACUAUCACCCCAGUGGAAAUACCUGAAUCUCUGACAGUUUUUUACCCUGGAGCCAUGUGUCGGAAAAUGGGAAUCUAGUUAAUUUUAGCCAUUUUAAUCUUGUUCUCCAAUUUAACUUAUAAACGAGCUUCUUUUCCUCUUAAGAGUCUGGCUAGAGAGUGCCCAAUUUAGUUAAACCCCAAGUUUAGGAUUAGAAAGGACUGCAAAAGCUGCAGAUUGUUCGAGUUAGCACACAAGAGUUGCUCUGCCACACUGUCAUUUGUUAAAAACCAACUUUGUCACUUAGGCAAAUUGCCUCAUUUUGACUUUAUUUGUCACCCGCAUGCCAUGAGUUGUAUUAUGAUCCACAUUUUAAAAAUGAAAAAAUAUACCGAAGAGUUUAACUGACCCGUGAUCACUUAGCUAGUAUGCCUCAAUGCUGGAAUUUUAAACCAGGUAUCUGACUCCAAAGUUUAUAAUUUUUUGACCUACUAC
ensembl:lncRNA SOX21-AS1 SOX21 antisense divergent transcript 1